rnacentral:rRNA from 1 species
CCUGUGAGGGUUGCUGGAGGUAUCAGAAGUGCGAAUGCUGACAUAAGUAACGAUAAAGCGGGUGAAAAGCCCGCUCGCCGGAAGACCAAGGGUUCCUGUCCAACGUUAAUCGGGGCAGGGUGAGUCGACCCCUAAGGCGAGGCCGAAAGGCGUAGUCGAUGGGAAACGGGUUAAUAUUCCCGUACUUGGUGUUACUGCGAAGGGGGGACGGAGAAGGCUAUGUUGGCCGGGCGACGGUUGUCCCGGUUUAAGCGUGUAGGUGUGUGUUCCAGGUAAAUCCGGUU